rnacentral:rRNA from 1 species
UACGGGGGGAGCAAGCGUUGUUCGGAUUUACUGGGCGUAAAGGGCGCGUAGGCGGCCUCUGCAAGUCGACUGUGAAAUCUCCGGGCUUAACCCGGAAAGGUCAGCCGAUACUGCAGGGCUAGAGUGCAGAAGGGGCAACUGGAAUUCUCGGUGUAGCGGUGAAAUGCGUAGAUAUCGAGAGGAACACCUGCGGCGAAGGCGGCCAGCUGGGCCGGAUCCGACGCUGAGGCGCGAAAGCGUGGGGAGCAAACAGG